GGCCCAGUGGUGGAAUUGGCAUACACGCGACACUUAAAAUGUCGUGCCCUUACGGGCUUGUGGGUUCGACUCCCACCUGGGCCA
rnacentral:tRNA from 1 species